CGAAGCUUCACUAAGUCUAUCUUUACAGUUUAGACUUGCAUGCCUCCAUCGGUUGAAAAGGUCAAAGACCGGUUCUUCAUUUCGCUGACGAGUGUUUGUAAGUUCCACCAUGCUUACAGUACGUCUUGUGCUAUAGAAGCGGUUGAGAAAUUCUUGCUCCAUUUGUUCCCAACUAUCAAUGGAACCAGACUCAAGGUCCGUGUACCAAUCAAAAGCAUUGC
rnacentral:lncRNA from 1 species